rnacentral:lncRNA from 1 species
GGAGACUGGACGUAGUCGAAAUGACCGAAAUGACCUAAAACUAAAGGAAAGGCAGGUGGCAUUUGCAAUAAUCAAAAUCACUUAAAAUUAAAUAUCAGCGAAAAUUGAAGGAAUGAUGAGAUGCGGUCAUUAUGACCAACAUCAUCUAAAAUUGAGGAAGAAAACAGGAUGUGGUUGCAAUGACCGAAGUCACUUAAAAUUGAAGGAAGCACGGGAGGCGGUUGCGAAGAC